rnacentral:rRNA from 1 species
AUUGAACGCUGGCGGCAGGCCUAACACAUGCAAGUCGAGCGAGCGGCGGACGGGUGAGUAAUGUCUGGGAAACUGCCUGAUGGAGGGGGAUAACUACUGGAAACGGUAGCUAAUACCGCAUACCAUCAUAUGUGCCCAGAUGGGAUUAGCUAGUAGGUGGGGUAACGGCUCACCUAGGCGACGAUCCCUAGCUGGUGUGAUGGGAUGACAAGCCACCCUGGAACUGGUACACGGUCCUGACUCCUACGGGAGGCAGCAUGGGGGAAUAUUGAACAAUGGGCGCAAGCCUGAUGCAGCCAUGCCGCGUGUGUGAAGAAUGCCUUCGGGUUUUAAAGCACUUUCAGCGGGGAGGCGUUACCCGCAGAAGAAGCACCGGCUAACUCCGUGCCAGCAGCCGCGGUAAUAC